rnacentral:rRNA from 1 species
GAGCACGUAGGUGGGUUUGUAAGUCAGAUGUGAAAGCCUUCUGUUCAACGGAAGAAUUGCAUCUGAAACUGCGAGUCUUGAGUGUAGGAGGGGAGAAUGGAACUUCUGGUGGAGCGGUGAAAUGCGUAGAUAUCAGAAGGAACGCCGGCGGCGAAAGCGAUUCCCUGGCCUAUUACUGACACUCAGUGUGCGAAAGCUAGGGGAGCAAACGGGAUUAGAUACCCCGGUAGUCCUAGCCGUAAACGAUGGGCACUAAGUAGAGGGGUUUU